rnacentral:rRNA from 1 species
AGAUUGAACGCUGGCGGCGUGCUUAACACAUGCAAGUCGUACGCGAAAGGGACUUCGGUCCCGAGUAAAGUGGCGCACGGGUGAGUAACACGUGGAUAAUCUGCCUCUAUGAUGGGGAUAACAGUUGGAAACGACUGCUAAUACCGAAUACGCUCAUGAUGAACUUUGUGAGGAAAGGUGGCCUCUGCUUGCAAGCUAUCGCAUAGAGAUGAGUCCGCGUCCCAUUAGCUAGUUGGUGGGGUAACGGCCUACCAAGGCAACGAUGGGUAGCCGAUCUGAGAGGAUGAUCGGCCACACUGGAACUGAAACACGGUCCAGACUCCUACGGGAGGCAGCAGUGGGGAAUAUUGCGCAAUGGGCGAAAGCCUGACGCAGCGACGCCGCGUGAGGGAUGAAGGUCUUCGGAUCGUAAACCUCUGUCAGAAGGGAAGAAACUAGGGUGCUCUAAUCAUCAUCCUACUGACGGUACCUUCAAAGGAAGCACCGGCUAACUCCGUGCCAGCAGCCGCGGUAAUACGGAGGGUGCAAGCGUUAAUCGGAAUCACUGGGCGUAAAGCGCACGUAGGCUGUUAUGUAAGUCAGGGGUGAAAGCCCACGGCUCAACCGUGGAACUGCCCUUGAUACUGCACGACUCGAAUCCGGGAGAGGGUGGCGGAAUU